CCUACGGGAGGCAGCAGUGGGGGAUAUUGCACAAUGGGGGAAACUCUGAUGCAGCGACGCCGCGUGGGCGAAGAAGUAUUUCGGUAUGUAAAGCUCUAUCAGCAGGGAAGUAGAAAUGACGGUACCUGAGUAAGAAGCACCGGCUAAAUACGUGCCAGCAGCCGCGGUAAUACGUAGGGUGCAAGUGUUAUCCGGAUUUACUGGGUGUAAAGGGAGCGCAGGCGGCACGGCAAGCCUGAUGUGAAAGCCCGCGGCUCAACCGCGGGACUGCAUUGGGAACUGCCGGGCUGGAGUGCCGGAGAGGUAGGCGGAAUGCCUAGUGUAGCGGUGAAAUGCGUAGAUAUUAGGAGGAACACCAGUGGCGAAGGCAGCCUACUGGACGGUGACUGACGCUGAGGCUCGAAAGCGUGGGGAGCAAACAGGAUUAGAUACCCCAGUAGUC
rnacentral:rRNA from 1 species